rnacentral:rRNA from 1 species
CGGCCUGAGAGGGUGGACGGCCACAUUGGGACUGAGAUACGGCCCAGACUCCUACGGGAGGCAGCAGUAGGGAAUCUUCCGCAAUGGGCGAAAGCCUGACGGAGCAACGCCGCGUGAGUGAUGAAGGUCUUCGGAUCGUAAAACUCUGUUAUUAGGGAAGAACAUAUGUGUAAGUAACUGUGCACAUCUUGACGGUACCUAAUCAGAAAGCCACGGCUAACUACGUGCCAGCAGCCGCGGUAAUACGUAGGUGGCAAGCGUUAUCCGGAAUUAUUGGGCGUAAAGCGCGCGUAGGCGGUUUUUUAAGUCUGAUGUGAAAGCCCACGGCUCAACCGUGGAGGGUCAUUGGAAACUGGAAAACUUGAGUGCAGAAGAGGAAAGUGGAAUUCCAUGUGUAGCGGUGAAAUGCGCAGAGAUAUGGAGGAACACCAGUGGCGAAGGCGACUUUCUGGUCUGUAACUGACGCUGAUGUGCGAAAGCGUGGGGAUCAAACAGGAUUAGAUACCCUGGUAGUCCACGCCGUAAACGAUGAGUGCUAAGUGUUAGGGGGUUUCCGCCCCUUAGUGCUGCAGCUAACGCAUUAAGCACUCCGCCUGGGGAGUACGACCGCAAGGUUGAAACUCAAAGGAAUUGACGGGGACCCGCACAAGCGGUGGAGCAUGUGGUUUAAUUCGAAGCAACGCGAAGAACCUUACCAAAUCUUGACAUCCUUUGACAACUCUAGAGAUAGAGCCUUCCCCUUCGGGGGACAAAGUGACAGGUGGUGCAUGGUUGUCGUCAGCUCGUGUCGUGAGAUGUUGGGUUAAGUCCCGCAACGAGCGCAACCCUUGUUCACUGUUGCCAGCACGUUAUGGUGGGGACUCAGUGGAGACCGCCGGGGUCAACUCGGAGGAAGGUGGGGAUGACGUCAAAUCAUCAUGCCCCUUAUGUCCAGGGCUUCACACAUGCUACAAUGGUCGGUACAACGCGCAGCGACACUGUGAGGUGGAGCGAAUCGCUGAAAGCCGGCCUUAGUUCGGAUUGGGGUCUGCAACUCGACCCCAUGAAGUCGGAGUCGCUAGUAAUCGCAGAUCAGCAAUGCUGCGGUGAAUACGUUCCCGGGCCUUGUACACACCGCCCGUCACGUCAUGAAAGUUGGUAACACCCGAAGCCGGUGGCCCAAACUUGUUAGGGAGCCGUCGAAGGUGGGAUCGGCGAUUGGGACGAAGUCGUAACAAGGUACCCGUACCGGAAGGUGCGGGUG